rnacentral:lncRNA from 1 species
UCUCAUAUAUUCAAAUUCUUAUUUAUUUCAUAUGCUUGUCAUAUACUUGUUUAUCAAUUAUUGGGUUCUCAUCUGUGCUCAAUGCUUUUAUUGUUUAACUCAUUCAAUAAAAGGUGUUUUUCUUUAUUGAUAUGGGGACGUACGGUAAUGUCAUGAACUGGUGGGAAAUUCCUUGAUUAUGCAAAUAUCACCUAGGGAUAGGGGUAGGACGGUCAAUUGUAUUUGCUUCUGAUCGCAUUGCAUUAUUGGUUACUAGGGGAGGCUAGGGAUAGCAAGCCGGUAAUUAAUAAUAGGCUCUUUUCACCAAGGGAUUGAGUUAAGGGUAAAUAAGAAAGUGUGCAUGGCAAUUAGAUAAAUAAGUGAAGUAAAUAAGAAGAGUAGAUAUACGAGAGUGGAUUAGAUGAAAUUGUAAACCCAAACAACACCAUUCAUGCAUAGUUUCUCAAAACCAAUUGAAUCAACUGCAUUGCAUGUUUAUUUUUGUUCUUUGCAUAUAACCACCAAAUUUAUUCUCUUCUCAAGUCUUACACGAUUAGUUACAUGAAAAUUAAGGCCUAAGAGUCCUUUGGGAAAACGAUGCUCGGACUUACCCGUUUAUAUUACUUGAUAACGAUCUGGUACACUUGCCAGGGACUUAACAAGUUUUUGGUGCCGUUGCCGGGGACUCGUGGGGUAACUUAUCUAGUAGUGUAAAUUGAUUAAGUUUGACUUGAUUGUAUAUAUCUUUUUAUCUUUUAUUUUUUAUUUUUAUUUUUUUUUAAAUAUAAAAAAGUGCUACUAGGGUUUGUGUUUCUUGUGCAUGCAACAGGAGACUAGACAUACUAGAAGCAAGAAAAAUACGCAACCUCUUCUUGAAGGCUUAAGCGAAGCAAGAGGGAGAAGGAAAGUCAGACGCCCAUCUAGGGAUUUGUUUCCUUCACCUAACAGAUUACUAUCACCUUCACCAGAUAAAAGAACAUAGGAGAUGGCUGAAAGAAUUCCUCCAAGACGCACUCUUGCAGACCAAUCAGAUACGG